UGAGUUCUGGCAAAAAUUGGAGCCGCUUGCAAUCACUUGCACCUAACAUUACCAAAAGCAGUGGAAGCUCUGGUAACGACUGAAGCUUGACGCAAUUGACCAAGUAAAGCCAUCUAAGCCGUGAAAGUUGGCUGAUACUUGUAGGUAAACUCUCAAAGUUAUUUCCACUCAGAUUUAAAAUUUCCAAUGACGAUGGAGAGCCAAUAUCUGGAGGGAUUUCCAUUAUCUCACAGUCUCUUAGUUCUAGCUUUUUCAAAGAAGAUAAACCCGAUAAUAGUGGAGGCAAUACCAAACCCCUGCAUUCAAACAACGAAAGGGUUUCAAGUUUGUUUAAAUCAACAAUGGAGGAUGGUGCCUGAGGAAUUGCCAAUAACCCUGCAUCAAGGCGUUCCAAAGAUUUUAAAUUGCCCAAGUUCUCUGGCAAACUGCCAAGUUUAGUGCAACCAGUCAACUUUAACUGCUUAAGCCCUUCUAGAUUUUCGAUUGAAAAUGGCAGCUCUUUGAUAUUACUUGCCUCCUCUAAAUUAAUUUCUUCUAGUAGUUCCAUUUUCUCCAAGAUUUCUGGGAAACUCUCAAGGUUUCAAGUUUAAUGUGAAAGAAAUCUUAAGCAAGAAAUGGUAAAGGAAAUUUGUUUUUGAAAAGAAAUACGAGAUACCAAUAGUCUCAUUGCUUUUCUCAAAAGGCACAAAACAGGGCUGGGACUUUAUAUCUGAUAGGAAGCAGAUCAUGAGUCAUAUCCCAUGGUCUUGGAAGAAUUUCUUUGUUCACGGUUCAUAAUCAAAACAGCAAACAUUUUUCAAAAAUUGAGAAAACAUGGAAGUUUGUCGUUGAGGACCUUUGAAUUGCUCUCGGCGAAUUGAUUCCACUUCAUACUCGUGAGAUCCACCAACACUUUGAGCAUUAUCUAUAUCAUGAAAGUCUUCACUGCCGCCACCAAAUUCGAGUGUAAAGGUGUUGAGAUUUGCAUAAACUGGACUUACGCCACAGCAUUUGACCUUUUGAGGACCUUUGCCGAUAACCAACUGAUAGCGGAUGAAGAAGUCAAAUGAGACUGCUGCCCCAUCCGAUAACCCAAUAUUCCGACAAGGAUAAAAUCCAAGUAUGACAUGAUUUGAGUUUACGCACACGUUGUUGACCAAUUGGCAAAAGUGAUCGGACCCGAACUUACAUCCCACUCCGAAGAAAAUGGCAGGAGAAUAAGAAUCUUCCUCAAACUCAAAUUCAAUAGCAACACAUAGAGCAAACCCAAUGAAGAUUUUGCUACCACAACGAUGUGGCAGUUGAAUAGUUAUUAAAGAUCCUAUAGAUUGACUGCUGUACCAGUCUGGUACUUCACUUCCAGGUAAACAAAAGCUGAUUCCAUCAAAUUCCUGUAAAAUUAAAAUCAUGAUUUGAUUUUGGAUGUAAUUCAGGGGAGAGAUAAAGGGAAAUAGAUCGAAUUGCAUACCUUCUCAUAGAAUAGUCUUAGCGAUGCAAUUAUCAUAUGCCGAAUUCUUUUUUGCAAAUCUGCCCAAAUACUUUCAUUUAGUUUCAGGCAAUUAGCAAAUAUCAGUUGCACUGGAGACAUGUGCUUGGAUAGUCUUUCACCGGUGCGAUUGGAUAGUGCUUGCAAUAUGGAUGCAUCCAGUUCUUCUAGACAUGAUGUGAGUUCUGGCAAAAAUUGGAGCCGCUUGCAAUCACUUGCACCUAACAUUACCAAAAGCAGUGGAAGCUCUGGUAACGACUGAAGCUUGACGCAAUUGACCAAGUAAAGCCAUCUAAGCCGUGAAAGUUGGCUGAUACUUGUAGGUAAACUCUCAAAGUUAUUUCCACUCAGAUUUAAACUUUCCAAUGAUGAUAGACAGCCAAUAUCGGGAGGGAUUUCCAUUAUCUCACAGUCUCCUAGUUCUAGCUUUUUCAAAGAAGAUAAACCCGAUAAUAGUGGAGGCAAUACCA
rnacentral:lncRNA from 1 species